CAGCAGCCGCGGGAAUACGAAGGGGGCUAGCGUUGUUCGGAAUUACUGGGCGUAAAGCGCACGUAGGCGGACAUUUAAGUCAGGGGUGAAAUCCCGGGGCUCAACCCCGGAACUGCCUUUGAUACUGGGUGUCUAGAGUAUGGAAGAGGUGAGUGGAAUUCCGAGUGUAGAGGUGAAAUUCGUAGAUAUUCGGAGGAACACCAGUGGCGAAGGCGGCUCACUGGUCCAUUACUGACGCUGAGGUGCGAAAGCGUGGGGAGCAAACAGGAUUAGAUACCCCAGUAGUCCCUGUCUCUUAUAC
rnacentral:rRNA from 1 species